UAUAUAUGUGUGUGUGUGUGCGUGUUUAUGUGCACAUCAAUGUAUCUUGAGCGUGUAGAUGUGCACGUGUAUGUCAGCUAGAGAAGGGGAAAGGGAGGAGGCAAACGAAGAGAACGAUAUAGAUGGAAAGAGUGAAAGAUAGCUUGUCGAGGGAAAGAGAGAGACAGAGAUAGAGAGAUAGAGAGAGAGUAGGAGAGCGAGAAAUGUGGAUAGAGUGAGGUCGUGAAGCUUGAAUGGGGCUAGUUUGAGAUAGUUAGCGGGCCUUCAGAGGCACAAUCGGCCGCGAUUGGCGGGCCUACAAUCACACGUCGCAUUAUAUGUCCAUCAACGCGGCGGAUCUUGCAAAUACGUUAGCGGACCGAAGCCAACGGGUUAGCAGCCACAAAAAUCUUGAAUUCGAAGCGACAUUAUGUAGGAGCUCGUACGGUUACAGUACAGGAAUCGAAUUCUUUUGGGAGUUAAUUGGCUCCACGACGAAGGUAGUUACUUUGGAGAAUAGGAUUAUCCUUUGCGCGCAGUCGAAGGAGUCGAACCAGAUGCAAACAAGCGUGAUUAUUCGAAACCUCAGAUCAAAUGUGGUGGUGUGCACGAGAUUCGGGAGAGGAAUGAGGGACAUAGAGAGGGACUCGAGCGACUAACGGAAUAACUAAUUUAUCAAUUCUUCGGUUCGGUUGGCUCCGAUACCCCUGGCUAUAUUUGCGAACUCGUGCAAACGGGAACUCCCUAUUCCCAGGGUGCAUCGUCGUCUUGUUUGGACACGAGAGGGACUCCAGAAAGCUUCGGCUUACGAGAUGUCAAUAUGCUAUAAGUGACGAAGGUCUAUACGCGCUGAACCAGAAAGCUUUCAAUGAUUGUACAAAGUAUCAUGACGAAUUCAUCACUGCGACGCUUAUUAUAACGAGACACGAUAAAAUUAUAACAUCCUAUUGUAUAAGUUGCAGGAUAAUUGAUCCAAUCUAUUUCCACGAGAUACUGUAAUGAUGCAAUUGUUUUAUUGAGUGAUUUGUGUCAACAAUUUAUCAUGAUACCGAGGAAUAUGGGAUUACUGACAACACCAGCGUCGUAUCAAUACUAACAAUUUAGUUAAGAUUCGAUGACUUUAGAUUAACAGUACUGACCUACAUUAUUUCAAUUGGCAACAACUCAUUUAAAAAGUUAAUCCUCGCGAGAAGAAUAUAUCACCCGUUGUAGCUCGUUAUCGUGCCGAACGUUGGCGCCACCGAAGCUAUUUCACAGUUCAAUCAAUAUAACAUGUUGAAUUAUUUUUAAUAUGUCGAACUGUUUUUAACUCAACAAAAUUCUUAUUGUCGAUUGGAUGGUUGGAGAUGCUUGACGAUAAAAAUAAUCAAUUAAAUCCUGUUCCCUCGCGCGCGUUGCUAACUCAGUAAAGUUAGUUGCAAGAAGGUGGUAAAGGAGUAGGGAGAUUGUGAGUUGUACAGUACCUACGAGAGUCGUUCGUAAAACUUGAAAAUCCGUGGUUCAUAUCAUUCUCGACUUCAAUGGUCAGUACAAAUAGAUACGCUUGUAAUUAGAACGCAAUUUUGAUUGAAAAUGUAAGAUUUGUUGACACGCAAUUCACGCUACAAUAAUCAAACGAAUAUUCUCAUAUAUUUCCCGCAAAUUGUGUUUUCAUUUAAUAUUUGGUAUUACAAAAUUUUGCGAUCAAAGUGAGCGGAAACGUUGGGAUGUGCGGAAGGGGGGAAGAGAUGGAGGUAAUAUUAAUUGAAUAGUAACAAGGGGGGAUAUCAUCAUCCAGGAUAAUAUUAAUUGAAUUCCUGAAUCCACAUAAAUGAUUUAUGUAAUACCUACUUGAAAAUACCUAUAACAAUUUUAAGAUAAUUUAUGUGACAGACAAAUGAAAUUAAAAAAAAAAAAAGUACAAAAAAUAUACCUUCUUUUAUUUCUCUUUGGUGUCAGUAAGUUAACGAUGUGUGCAUAAAGUAACGAUCUGUGUAUUGUGUAAUGAUAUUUGCCUUAUAAUCGUAAAAAAUCUCAUACCACAACUCUUAGGGUAAGCAAUUAAUUAAUUAAGCAGCAGCGAUAUGUCGGAAUAAUGAUCAUCGUACGACGAACAACAUUAUCGGUUGUGGAAAAUGAGAUAAAGAAUAUUGAAGAAAAAAAAUAAGAAAAAUAAAUGACUCGUAUGAUAAAAAUAAAGAUCGGUGAGAAAACGGGGACAGAAAUUGUCGCGAUGCGUGAAAAAGAAGCCAGAAAUACUUCCCAAACUAAAAUGCAAAACACUCCGAAUUACACCAAUCAAUAUUCUUCGACUAAUCCUUCGGGAAUCCUGAUGCUCGUGUCACGUUACCCUUUAUUUAUUUAUCUUUUAUCUGCUGCUUUCUUUUGUCUUUAGCCUCUCGCAAGUAUUUCAAAGCAUCUCGAGAUUACCAGAAAACUGGAGAGUUAUAAAGCGACUCUCUUCGUCUAGAUUUCAAUGAGAGAGACUCCCAUGGGAAACGAUGGCGUUACUCCGAACCCCUUCAUAUCCGAACGUUAGCUAAAUAAAAGUAGUAGCACAA
rnacentral:lncRNA from 1 species